UUUUUUUUUGCACCUUCUGGUUUUGCAUUUGUUCAACCCAUUAAUUGGUUUUGGCAAUUAUGUGGUCGGAACUUGAGGGCUUUUAAGGUUUUCUUUCAGUCGAUUCUUUGGCAAUUCAGUUGAUGGGAAACAUUUAUGGCAUGAAUCUGUACUCAAUGGCACUCGGCAAUUUGAUUAGCAGUUAACGUUGCGGCCGUAAAUCUGUCUGGCAAAUGACGUUGCGUAAUCAAAUUCUGUUGACGUUUCAUUGUCUCUAAACGUUUAUCUGUUCAUUGAUGGCCAGCAACAAAUCUUGUCUACUUGCAUCGUUGUCGGAAGGAC
rnacentral:lncRNA from 1 species